ACAAUUAAGAUAUGCACGGGUCUGUACAGAUGGUAGCAAGAGAAGGAUGGGGAGACAAGUCUUGCAACGAAAUACCAUAUAAAAGCAACUAUAUUGAAUUAGAGAGUAUAAUUAUUAGAAGGGUCAUUUAUGUUCAUAUCACCCAAGUUGCAGAGAAAGGGUUUUAAUGGGGGAAAUCCCUGUGAUGCGUUUUAUGAUCUUCAUGUCGGAAACCGAAGUGUACACACAUUCACUAUUUCUAACAAAUUCUCAAUUCUAUGGAGAAGAUUUCCAGGAAACUCGCUUACGUUGUGACGAUCCAGAGUUUAGAGCAAUGAUGAAUGAAAAUGGAAUCUCUGUUCUCUUAAGUAAUGGCGAUGGCUUCCUAGAAAAAGAAGCAGAAGUAUUGGAGCCAUUACGAGGCAAUGCUCAGAGAUUUGAAAACCCUAAUACUGAAAUCGUGAAGAAGAAAACGGGACAACCUUUGAAGAACGCCCUCAACCCAACCCAACCCAGCAGGGACGUGUAAAGGAAAAUCACGCAAGGAAAGAAAAUGUUGUUGCUUAAUUGGGCCGGGGUGCUUCCUAAUAUCUGUCCUUCCACUUUUCCUUCAAAUAAAACAUACUGAAGCAGUAUAUCAUGCAUGCAGUUAUCUUGUACUAAUGUGAUAAAUAAUUAACAACAACCAAAUCUCACACUAGGAGAGGUUCCAUUUUAAAUGGCAGGUAAAUAAGUAUCAGAAUUUUGGUUUA